rnacentral:rRNA from 1 species
UACCUGCAGCUCAAGUGGUGGCCGCUAUUAUUGGGCCUAAAACGUCCGUAGCCUGCUGGGUAAAUGCCUGGGUAAAUCGUGUUGCUUAACGAUACGAAUUCCGGGUAGACUGCCUAGCUUGAGACCGGAAGAAGUUAGAGGUACUCCUGGGGUAGGGGUGAAAUCCUGUAAUCCUGGGGGGACCACCAGUGGCGAAGGCGUCUAACUAGGACGGGUCUGACGGUGAGGGACGAAACCCUGGGGCGCAAACCGGAUUAGAUACCCGGGUAGUCCAGGGCGCAAACGCUGCUUGCUUGAUGUUAGUUGGGCUCCGAGCUCAGCUAGUGUCGGAGAGAAGUUGUUAAGCAAGCUGCCUGGGAAGUACGAUCGCAAGAUUGAAACUUAAAGGAAUUGGCGGGGGAGCACAGCAACGGGUGGAGCGUGCGGUUU